rnacentral:rRNA from 1 species
UACGUAGGGUGCGAGCGUUGUCCGGAAUUAUUGGGCUUAAAGGGCGCGUAGGCGGGUCGGCCAGUCUGUGGUGAAAUCCCCCGGCUUAACCGGGGAACGGCCGCGGAUACUGCCGACCUCGAGGGGGGUAGGGGCGUGCGGAACACUAGGUGGAGCGGUGAAAUGCGUUGAUAUCUAGUGGAACUCCGGUGGCGAAAGCGGCGCGCUGGACCCCUUCUGACGCUGAGACGCGAAAGCGUGGGGAGCAAACAGG